AGUGACUAGACAUAAAAAUGAUUAAAAAGUUGAGUUUUUUUACAACACACCCAGCAGGAAUCUGGGGUCAUUGCGAUGAGGGGCACAAAACUUGUACCAUCCCUAAACAAAUGCUCUAUACGU
rnacentral:snoRNA from 1 species